UCGCUUCAGCAGCAGGUAUACUAAAAAUAGGAUUGAUACAGAAAAGAUUAGCAUGACCCCUGUGCAAGGAUGACAUGAAAAUUCAUGAAGCGUUCCAUAAUUCU